GAUGAACGCUAGCGGCAGGCUUAAUACAUGCAAGUCGAGGGGCAGCGGGGUAGCAAUACCGCCGGCGACCGGCAAACGGGUGCGGAACACGUACAGAACCUUCCUUUAAGCGGGGGAUAGCCCAUAGAAAUGUGGAUUAAUACCCCAUAGUAAUGUUUAAUGGCAUCAUUAGAUAUUUAAAGAUUUAUCACUUAAAGAUGGCUGUGCGGCUGAUUAGGUAGUUGGUGUGGGUAACGGCCCACCAAGCCAGCGAUCAGUAACUGGUGUGAGAGCACGACCAGUCACACGGGCACUGAGACACGGGCCCGACUCCUACGGGAGGCAGCAGUAAGGAAUAUUGGUCAAUGGACGCAAGUCUGAACCAGCCAUG
rnacentral:rRNA from 1 species